UAGCAUGAACAUGCUCGAAGAGGGUCUGCGCUUUACGGCCAUGCGCAUGUAUCUUUUCAUGUGUGUUAUUAGGGAACAGCUCACUUCCCACAGUCGCGGCCUCACGACUACACGCAUAUAGGUGAAUUUUAAAAAGGGUACGAGCAAGUAGGUAUCCUGCCUCAUGGGUCUCGGAUUCAUUAAGAGUAAAAACUCAACCUAACCCUUGCUUUUUAUGAGCACUGUUGCCCUAGGGAUGGGAAAAA
rnacentral:lncRNA from 1 species